rnacentral:tRNA from 1 species
GGGGAGAUAACAUGAGUGGUUAAUGUACAGGAGCGUAUGCCUGGACGGAGGUUCGAAUCCUCCCCUCUCCACGA